UAAACCAGGUCUAAACCAGGUCUAAACCAGGACUAAACCAGGUCUAAACCAGGACUAGACCAGGUCUAAACCAGGACUAAACCAGGUCUAAACCAGGUCUAAACCAGGUCUAAACCAGGACUAAACCAGGACUAAACCAGGACUAAACCAGGACUAAACCAGGACUAAACCAGGACUAAACCAGGACUAAACCAGGUCUAGACCAGGUCUAAACCAGGUCUAGACCAGGUCUAAACCAGGUCUAAACCAGGACUAAACCAGGUCUAGACCAGGACUCAGUCUAAGUCCAUUGUGAAGUAAAAAUGAGUUCAAAGUGCAGUAUUUUGUUGAUACUGAUGAACCUGAUCUCGUGGGGCUCUUCUCUGUUCUAUAGCUGUAAAGUUUGCUUUAGUUUGAGUUGUAUAGAUAUUUCUUUUAUUGAUGUUACUCAGAUUCUUUUAUUAUUUCUCACAUUUGUGGUGAGUUUGCACUUAUGAAAAACUCUUAUGUUUCCCAAAUCUACCAAAAAUACUGUCAAUUCUACAGUGAAUUAGACGCUUUUGAAAACCUGCGUGUUGUUCCAUUUCCUAAAUGUCCAGUUAAGGCUGUCAAAAGUAUCGAAAAUCAGAUACUAAUCGAUACUAGAACUAGUAUCGAGACUAGAUACUCGUUUGAGCAGGUAUCGAUACUGAAAAAGUCACAUAUAAGCCACAUGUGAAGAGAAAACAAAGCACUGCCAUGUUCUUUUGUCUAAAUAAAGAGUUUUUCAUUAUCC
ensembl:lncRNA